rnacentral:rRNA from 1 species
AAUGCCCGGAAGGGUGAACCAGCCAUCCCGCGUGAAGGAUGAAGGGGCUCUGCCUUGUAAACUUCUUUUGUAUGGGGCGAAAAAAGGGGAUUUAUCCUCGACUGACGGUACCAUAAGAAUAAGCACCGGCUAACUCCGUGCCAGCAGCCGCGGUAAUACGGAGGGUGCGAACGUUAUCCGGAAUCACUGGGUUUAAAGGGUGCGUAGGCUGUUUAAUAAGUCAGUGGUGAAAGGCCGUCGCUUAACGAUGGGACUGCCAUUGAUACUGUUAGACUUGAAUCAGGUUGAGGUUGGCGGAAUGUGGCAUGUAGCGGUGAAAUGCAUAGAUAUGCCAUGGAAUACCGAUUGCGAAGGCAGCUGACUGGACCUUGAUUGACGCUGAGGCACGAAAGCGUGGGUAGCGAA